AGAGUUUGAUCCUGGCUCAGGAUGAACGCUAGCGGCAGGCCUAAUACAUGCAAGUCGAACGGUAAAUAUUUUAGCAAUAGAAUAUGAGAGUGACGUACGGGUGCGUAACACGUAUGCAACCUACCCUUUACAGGUGGAUAGCUCGGGGAAACUCGAAUUAACCCAUCAUAAGAUCAUAGGAUGGCAUCAUCGAGUGAUUAAAAUUACGGUGGUAAAGGAUGGGCAUGCGUCUGAUUAGUUAGUUGGCGGGGUAACGGCCCACCAAGACGAUGAUCAGUAGGGGAACUGAGAGGUUGAUCCCCCACACUGGCACUGAGAUACGGGCCAGACUCCUACGGGAGGCAGCAGUAGGGAAUAUUGGUCAAUGGAUGGAAGUCUGAACCAGCCAUGCCGCGUGCAGGAAGAAGGCCUUCUGGGUUGUAAACUGCUUUUGCCAGGGGCUAAAAAGCUCAUGCGUGAGAAAUUGAAAGUACCUGGUGAAUAAGCCACGGCUAACUACGUGCCAGCAGCCGCGGUAAUACGUAGGUGGCAAGCGUUGUCCGGAUUUAUUGGGUUUAAAGGGUGCGUAGGCGGCUUUGUAAGUCAGUGGUGAAAUAUGGCAGCUCAACUGUCAGGGUGCCAUUGAUACUGCGGAGCUUGAGUACAGAUGAGGUAGGCGGAAUUGACGGUGUAGCGGUGAAAUGCUUAGAUAUCGUCAAGAACACCGAUAGCGAAGGCAGCUUACUGGGCUGUAACUGACGCUGAGGCACGAAAGCGUGGGUAGCAAACAGGAUUAGAUACCCUGGUAGUCC
rnacentral:rRNA from 1 species